UGCCCAUGAAUCUGCCUGGUANUGGGGGAUAACGUUCCGAAAGGAACGCUAAUACCGCAUACGUCCUACGGGAGAAAGCAGGGGACCUUCGGGCCUUGCGCUAUCAGAUGAGCCUAGGUCGGAUUAGCUAGUUGGUGAGGUAAUGGCUCACCAAGGCGACGAUCCGUAACUGGUCUGAGAGGAUGAUCAGUCACACUGGAACUGAGACACGGUCCAGACUCCUACGGGAGGCAGCAGUGGGGAAUAUUGGACAAUGGGCGAAAGCCUGAUCCAGCCAUGCCGCGUGUGUGAAGAAGGUCUUCGGAUUGUAAAGCACUUUAAGUUGGGAGGAAGGGCAGUAAGCUAAUACCUUGCUGUUUUGACGUUACCGACAGAAUAAGCACCGGCUAACUUCGUGCCAGCAGCCGCGGUAAUACGAAGGGUGCAAGCGUUAAUCGGAAUUACUGGGCGUAAAGCGCGCGUAGGUGGUUCGUUAAGUUGGAUGUGAAAGCCCCGGGCUCAACCUGGGAACUGCAUCCAAAACUGGCGAGCUAGAGUACGGUAGAGGGUGGUGGAAUUUCCUGUGUANCGGUGAAAUGCGUAGAUAUAGGAAGGAACACCAGUGGCGAAGGCNACCACCUGGACUGAUACUGACACUGAGGUGCGAAAGCGUGNNGAGCAAACAGGAUUAGAUACCCUGGUAGUCCACGCCGUAAACGAUGUCNACUAACCGUUGGGUUCCUUGAGAACUUAGUGGCGCANCUAACGCAUUAAGUUGACCGCCUGGGGAGUACNGCCGCAAGGUUAAAACUCAAAUGNAUUGACGGGGGCCCGCACAAGCGGUGNAGCAUGUGGUUUAAUUCNAAGCNACGCNNAGAACCUUACCUGGGCCUUGACAUGCUGAGAACUUUCCNNANAUGGAUUGGUGCCUUCGGGAACUCNNNCNCNGGGUGCUGCAUGGCUGUCGUCACUNNUGNNNUGAGAUGNUGGNNUAAGUCCCNNAACNAGCGCCNCCCNUG
rnacentral:rRNA from 1 species